AGAGUUUGAUCCUGGCUCAGGACGAACGCUGGCGGCGUGCCUAAUACAUGCAAGUAGAACGCUGAAGAGAGGAGCUUGCUCUUCUUGGAUGAGUUGCGAACGGGUGAGUAACGCGUAGGUAACCUGCCUUGUAGCGGGGGAUAACUAUUGGAAACGAUAGCUAAUACCGCAUAACAAUGGAUGACACAUGUCAUUUAUUUGAAAGGGGCAAUUGUUCCACUACAAGAUGGACCUGCGUUGUAUUAGCCAGUAGGUGAGGUAAUGGCUCACCUAGGCGACGAUACAUAGCCGACCUGAGAGGGUGAUCGGCCACACUGGGACUGAGACACGGCCCAGACUCCUACGGGAGGCAGCAGUAGGGAAUCUUCGGCAAUGGGGGCAACCCUGACCGAGCAACGCCGCGUGAGUGAAGAAGGUUUUCGGAUCGUAAAGCUCUGUUGUAAGUCAAGAACGGGUGUGAGAGUGGAAAGUUCACACUGUGACGGUAGCUUACCAGAAAGGGACGGCUAACUACGUGCCAGCAGCCGCAGUAAUACGUAGGUCCCGAGCGUUGUCCGGAUUUAUUGGGCGUAAAGCGAGCGCAGGCGGUUUGAUAAGUCUGAAGUUAAAGGCUGUGGCUCAACCAUAGUUCGCUUUGGAAACUGUCAAACUUGAGUGCAGAAGGGGAGAGUGGAAUUCCAUGUGUAGCGGUGAAAUGCGUAGAUAUAUGGAGGAACACCGGUGGCGAAAGCGGCUCUCUGGUCUGUAACUGACGCUGAGGCUCGAAAGCGUGGGGAGCGAACAGGAUUAGAUACCCUGGUAGUCCACGCCGUAAACGAUGAGUGCUAGGUGUUGGAUCCUUUCCGGGAUUCAGUGCCGCAGCCAACGCAUUAAGCACUCCGCCUGGGGAGUACGACCGCAAGGUUGAAACUCAAAGGAAUUGACGGGGGCCCGCACAAGCGGUGGAGCAUGUGGUUUAAUUCGAAGCAACGCGAAGAACCUUACCAGGUCUUGACAUCCCGAUGCUAUUUCUAGAGAUAGAAAGUUACUUCGGUACAUCGGUGACAGGUGGUGCAUGGUUGUCGUCAGCUCGUGUCGUGAGAUGUUGGGUUAAGUCCCGCAACGAGCGCAACCCCUAUUGUUAGUUGCCAUCAUUCAGUUGGGCACUCUAGCGAGACUGCCGGUAAUAAACCGGAGGAAGGUGGGGAUGACGUCAAAUCAUCAUGCCCCUUAUGACCUGGGCUACACACGUGCUACAAUGGUUGGUACAACGAGUUGCGAGUCGGUGACGGCGAGCUAAUCUCUUAAAGCCAAUCUCAGUUCGGAUUGUAGGCUGCAACUCGCCUACAUGAAGUCGGAAUCGCUAGUAAUCGCGGAUCAGCACGCCGCGGUGAAUACGUUCCCGGGCCUUGUACACACCGCCCGUCACACCACGAGAGUUUGUAACACCCGAAGUCGGUGAGGUAACCUUUUGGAGCCAGCCGCCUAAGGUGGGACAGAUGAUUGGGGUGAAGUCGUAACAAGGUA
rnacentral:rRNA from 1 species